rnacentral:rRNA from 1 species
UGUUCAGGGGUAAACCUGUGGUUCCCGAAAGUUCGAACGGGGAGAUUCAAUUGCCUUACCGGUUAUUACCAUUUAACAGUGAUAUUUUUAUAAUAUUUUGAGACAUUAUGUACGGUAUAGUUUUUUAUUAGACUAUAUUUGUUUAUAUAGUGCUCCGCUGUUUUAUGUAUUAUUAUGUAUAUAGCCGGAGGUGUGCACUUCUCCCCUUGUAGGACGUCGUGACCUAUUGGGUAAUAUUAUAUAUAAAUGUUGUCUAAGGCUCAUAUUGGAGACCAUAGUAUCAAGUUUCGGCUUGUGUACUUUUGGACUUUUGUGAUGUCCCGACAUCUACCCGAUGGUAUUGUUUAAUGUGAUAAUGAGUCGCUAAGAAAAAUUUAUUUUUUUUUGGUGAGCGUUCAGACCUAUAACAAAUGCUUAUAUGAAUGUAAUUGUGGAAAUUGUAUUUUAUUUACGAUUCUACACAUAUAGUAUUGUUAGUUAUUUGGUGUUCUCGAACCGAUUCUUAUUAUCCGUCAACGGCGUUUAUGUUUUGGGUAAUUACAGGACCCGUCUUGAAACACGGACCAAGGAGUCUAGCAUGUGCGCGAGUCAUUGGGACUCUUUAUAAAAAACCUAAAGGCAUAAUGAAAGUAAAUAUUAUAAUAAUUUUAUAUUAUUAUUUAAUAAAGGGAAGAUGGGUAAUUAAAUUUAUAUUACCUCGCAUUCCCGGGGCGUCGCUUACUUAUUGCAAGUUGCGGCGCACCAAGAGCGUACACGCUGGGACCCGAAAGAUGGUGAACUAUGCCUGGUCAGGAUGAAGUCAGGGGAAACCCUGAUGGAGGUCCGUAGCGAUUCUGACGUGCAAAUCGAUCGUAUGAACUGGGUAUAGGGGCGAAAGACUAAUCGAACCAUC